UGUUCCUUUCUUGUUGCGACACUUUGAUGUAUUUAUUUCUGAUUUUAAACAUGCCUUUUUGUAUCUAUACACACAACAGGGUUACCACGGAAACGUACCGCUACGUCUAGUCAAUGAUAUAAAUGGAUGAACGAUGUCCUUCAAACAGCACGUGAGAAAUCCUGCAACCGAUCACGUGAUAAGCGCUUCGCUUGCUAAGACCUGUUACAAAUGAAUUCAGACAAAACUAUAAACAAAAAUCUCGAAAAUGCAUUCGCUUAUGGAGAUCAAAAUCUACUUUGUAUGUUUUUGUUUCUUAAUAAUGUGUGUUCGGUGUUUGUUGUUUUGUCGGGGAUUUGCUUAUAGUGGCGUCUUGGUUGUGUUUGUGGUGGUGUUUGUGUUUUUAUAACUGUGUUUGUGGCGGUGUUUUAGUGUUUGUUGUUGUGUUUGUGGUGUCUUCAGUGUGAUCUUCUCGGUUGUAAAUGAUGUGGAUCUUGUUUUGUCAAAAAGUGUUUUGUGGUGCGAAUUUUUGUUUGUUUGUCAAAUUUGGUUCUUCGUCUUUCGUCCGUGUGUUUUAAUACUUUUACUUAUCCGAUCAAUUUUAGAUAACUGUAGAUAGGUACCAUGAAAACUGCAGACGACAGAUAUAAGGUGCAGGCGACAUCUGGAUAAGCACUUGCAACUGUUUUGUUUUGUCUGCUUUUAUUUAUUUUCACUUUGUAUUGCUAUUUUUUCCACUAAAAUGUUAAGGUAGUUUGAGAAUAAAGCCACAGACGGAUAUGGAAAUGCAGAUCAAACAAACUGGGCGUUUCUCUUUACCAUGCACAGGUGUGUAUAUUGCUACUUAAGUUAUCUUUUGCACGUAUUUCUCUGCAGAUUUUUCCUGAAUGGUGUCUGAUGUUGUAUACAAGCCUGUGUGUGUAUAUAUACAUUCAACCUCAAUAGGGUAACCAUGGAAAAGUACGUCUACACAUUUGCAGUUGUAUAAUGGAUGGCCGACGUUUAGAUGUACAAAGUUAUAUAGAGGAUUUUCGAGCAUAUCAUAUUAUGGUGUGUAUAUUUACAUUUUUAGCUCAUCUGAUUUUUUGAAAAAAAAAAGAUGAGUUAUUGUCAUCACUUGAUCGGUGUCGGCGUCGGCGUCGGCGUUGCCUGGUUAAGUUUUGUUUAGGUCAGCUUUUCUCCUAAACUAUCAAAGCUAUGGCUUUGAAACUUGGAACACUUGUUCACCAUCAUAAGCUGACCCUGUACAGCAAGAAACAUAACUCCAUCCUACUUUUUGCAAGAUCUAUGGUCCCUUUUGUACUUAGAAAGUCCGUUUUUUUGGUUAAGUUUUAUGUUUAGGUCAGCUUUUCUCAUAAACUAUCAAAGCUAUUGCUUUAGAACUUGCAACACUUGUUCACCAUCAUAAGCUGACCCUGUACAGCAAGAAACAUAACUCCAUCCUGCUUUUUGCAAGAUUUAUGGCUCCUUUUGGACUUAGAAAAUAUCAGAUUUCUUGGUUAAGUUUUAUGUUUAGGUCAACAUUUUCUCUUAAACUACCAAAGCUAUUGUUUUGAAACUUGCAACACUUGUUCGCCAUCAUAAGCUGACCCUGUACAGCAAGCAACAUAACUCAAUCCUGCUUUUUUCAAGAAUUAUUGCCCCUUUUGGACUUAGAAAAUCAGUAUUCUUGGUUGAGUUUUAUGUUUAAGUCAGCUUAUCUCAUAAACUAUCAAAGCUAUUGCUUUAAAACUUGCAACAGUUUUUCACCAUCAUAAGCGGACGCUGUACAUCAAGAAACAUAACUCUAUCCUGCUUUUUGGAAGAAUGAUGGCCCUUUUUAGACUUAAAAAAUCAUGGGUAGGACAAUAUUUCUAUUAUACAAAAAAAUCAGAUGAGCGUCAGCACCCGUAAGGCGGUGCUCUUGUCUUUCUUGUGACAGCACUUUGAUAUGUUUGUUUCUCUUUUACAUGUGCCUCAUUGUAUCAACACACAACACUGUUUCCAUGGAAACGUACCUCUUCAUCUAAGCAAUGGUAUAAUGAAUGACCAACGUCCAGGUGUACAAAGUUUCACGGCAGAGUUCAGCGUGUAUAGGGUAUGUAUAAUUUCCUCUUCUUUCUUGUGGCAACACUUUGAUAUGUUUAUUUCUCUUUUUUAUAAUUGCCUUUCUAUAUCUACACACACAACAGGGUUACCAUGGAAACUUAUAUCUACAUCCAGACAAUGGUAUAAUGGAUGACCGACGUUCAGAUGUAGAAAGUUAUACAGUAGAUUUUACAGCAUAUAAGGUGUGUAUUCUACUUUUUAUUUCUUGCGGCAACUCUUUCAUAUACAAAUGUUUUUGUUUCUGGAAUCACAUAUAUCUUUCUUUAUCUAUACACACAACAGGGUUACCAUGGAAACGUACCUCAACAUAUAGGCAGCGAUAUAAAUUGAUGACCGACGUUGGAGUCUGCAAACAGUACUGAGGGAAAUCCUGCAACCGAUCACGUGUUAAACGCUUAGUUUGAAAUAGUCUAAACCUUGCUAAGACCUGUAAAUAAAUUCAGAUUUUUCCAAAAUGGUCGCUGAUGAUGAAUACAAGCCCAUGUGAAGAUAUCAUGUUGUAGAUUUCACAAUGGUUUAGUGGACGGUGCAGCUAUGGUAACUCGUGUUGACUAUACAAGAACGUGCAAGGAUGUCAUGUUGUAGAUUUCACAAUGGUUUAGUGGAUGACCAAUGGCUUGAUUCUUUUUCUCGGGCGCAAUGGGCCAGAGCCACUCAAGAAUUACGGGAAUGCGCAUACAGUUUCUAGCUUUGGUGAUUGUAAAACUCGACGUAUUUGGUGAGAAACUCAAACUAUCCGACGAAGGACACGAACUGUCCGACGAGAAGCAGUUUACUGGAACAAACACGACUGCUUUGCUGAUGCCGCAUAAAUGCCGAUAGAGUUGCAAUGGUACCCAGUCGAAGCUGGUCACCAGAGACGCGCUGGUACCCAAUCGAAGCUGGUCACAAGAGACGCGCUGGUACCCUAUCGAUGUCUGUGCCUGUCAUUAGAGGCGUGCUGGACCCAUUAUGUCAACAUAGUAAUCAACUCUUUUUCAACAAGCAUUGAUCGAUGACUUCACUGGAACUCAAGGCUUGGCGGACAUGUCGUCUGUAUUUGUCCUGUCGUACUCAUGGUAGAGAUUUCUUCCACAUCUCCUGCACAAAACAGAACAGAAAAUCCUGAAUGUUCUUGAUGGCAGACGGAAACUUCACUCAGGUUUAAAAAGGCAAGAAGACAGUGUUUAACAUUAAAAAAGAAUCGAUGUCAGAAAACAAAUAUAGUCAUGCCGUCUUGUGCUUGUUGUUUCCAACAGCUGACAGUCCUACGCAUGUCAGACUGAUUUCAAACACACAAGUGAGAAAGAUCAGCAGAAGGAAGAACCAAGUUUGAAGAAUCCACGACAGAUAUAAGCAAGACACCACCACAGCCGCCCUGACACAAGCAUAUAGACAUGACACCACCACAGACGCCCUGACACAAGCAUAUUUAAACAAAAUGGAAAUAAGCUGACAUGUGUAUAAUUAUAUCCGCAUGCACAAAGUAUAUGGGGCUAUAUUGGAGUCACGUAUGUCCACCAGUCCGUUCGUCCAUCCGUCCAUCGAGUCCGCUGGGAAGAUUUUCUUAUAACUGACAGCAGUUAUUAACCACAUCAUGACGGUGUGCAGAGCGCACACCCAUGCUACUAGGUCAAAAGGUAAGGUUAAUCUUGGAGGUGAAAAGUCAAAUAGUUUAACUUCAUGUCCGCUCCAUAUUGUCUAAAUGACUUAAGAGAAACUUAGCUCGACUAUUCGAAGAAUAAACAGGAUUAGUGUACUUGCUCUUACGUUGGCGUCACUGUCACCUAUGCAUUCGAGUUAAAAUGUGUCACUGUUUAUUCUUUACUCAUCACACUUUACAGAAGUGUUGGUAUUGGUAAGGGUCAGACAUUUAUUUGUUUAGAGUCUGGUAUCCUGAACGUCAAGGUCACUGGUUUAUACAUUAUAACAAUAUUGGUUAAAGUUUAAUGACAAUCUUCUCAAUUUUACUAUAUCUUCUUAACUACUAUCCUAUAAUUACCAAACCUUACACAAGUAUUGAUCUUUGGAAGGGGCAAAAGUCAUUAGCUUUAGGAUCAGGUAGAUCUAUGUCAAAGGUCAAAGGCACUGGGGUCAGAUUUAUAAUUAUAUUGGUUACAGUUUUAUGGCACAAUUUGACUUAUAACUCAUACUGUUUCUUUGCACAGGUAUCCCUUACAUCCCACACUUAUAAGCACUGUCAACACUUUCUUUACCCCAGUCCCCACACCUACCCGAAAAUAUGUUCCUUACACAAACAUUUCAUAUUCCCCACAUCUCCGUUACUCACCUGUCUCCACCUACUUCUACCAACCCCAUUUCACCGCCUCACGCUCCAAACAAAGAUUUAUUUUACAUUUUCUUAAUUAACUAGCUUGUAAAUUUGAUUGUAUAUCUUGUUUAUAUUAUGUUUAAGUAUCCCUUAUUCCCACACUUCUACUUCCUACCCCAACACCUACACCCCCUCAACUCAGAUCUCAGGGGCAAGGUCACACUUGAAGGUCAAAGGUCAUGGUGACAAAAUUCUACAUUCCCUUUGUCAAAGCGACAUCUUGGGGUAUUAAUCACCUUCAGUGAUAGCUUUAAAUGCUUAGCGAUUGUAUCGUUUAUUUGAGAAGUGUUUGUUAACUAUUAGGAUAAAUAGUUCCAGUAAAACUGAGGAAAUUAUACGAUUUAAGAUCAAACUAUUUUCAGACGAAUCAAAUAUUUUUAGCUUGGUUUGUAUUGGUCUUGAAAUUAUGUAUCUUUAUCUUUAUUGCAUUAUUUUCAAAAAUACGUUUAUGAACACAAAAUUAACAUUUGAGUUUGAUCAAUAAAAUAUCUAGGGCAGCAAGUAUUUGAAAGAGACCAUACAUAACAAUAUUGAUUUUGUUAUUUUUUUCAAAAGCAUCUCAGCUAUAAGUUAUUUUUAAACUGGACAGGGAUAGUUUAAAAAAAAAUGCUUGGAUCAGUUUACAAAAAUAAAAAUAUUGGGACCAAAGUUUUAACUUUGAUAUUUGUUAGUUUCAGUGUUAGAUCAAAAUACGGAAUCAUUUUAGACGCAACUCCUGAAAAUAUUAACUAACCGAUAGUGUUCACGCGUGAAAAUACCUCAGUUUUGUAUAUAAAUUAAAAAAUAUUUUCAUGCACAUUUAUCAGUGUAACGUCACAGGUAACGUUGCGUUUGCUGUUAUGGCAAUAAAUACGUUGGAAAAAGUAACAUAGGUCUACGAGAUUGAUUUCUUUUUCAUUUUAAUAUAGUUAUUUUCUAUCCGAUCUAAUUUAUAUUCUUUCACGUUAAAUUGAUGUUUCAUGCAAGUGAAAAUCGUAUUUGGAUUUCCCACUUCUAAAACAGUGGGUUUAUCAGGGUAUAAUGUAUCGUUAUGUUUCAGUUAUACUCUGAAAGCUUGACACAAAAUUCCAUACUCUAGUAACAACAAAAUGUACAGAUAAAAUCAUUACUGUUUAUUCAAACACACAUUCUACCGUCUUUUGUCUAGGUCAUCUAAAUGUAGCUUUUUAAAGUCAUUUUGGCCUCUUGUCUUGUACACUGAAUUUUACACUGUUUGGCAUAUGUAACUCUUAACCGCAUAACUUUUAACCGACACCUAACUCUUCAGCAUUAACAUUAACCCUUGGGGCUGAAAUGACUUUAAAGCAACUUUUGUCUGUUAUAGGAACAAUGGUUAAACUUCAAAUGUUUUUAGGAAUGAUGAGUAAAAAGAUGAAAUGAGCCGUGCC